rnacentral:rRNA from 1 species
UACGAAGGGGGCUAGCGUUGCUCGGAAUCACUGGGCGUACAGGGUGUGUAGGCGGUUUGGUAAGCCUUCUGUUAAAGCUUCGGGCCCAACCCGGAAAGCGCAGAGGGUACUGCCAGGCUAGAGGACGGGAGAGGAGCGCGGAAUUCCGGGUGUAGCGGUGGAAUGCGUAGAGAUCCGGAAGAACACCGGUGGCGAAGGCGGCCUGCUGGGCAGUUGCUGACACUGAGGCGCGACAGCGUGGGGAGCAAACAGG